ACCUACUUAACUAACAAAGUAUAUAUUUUGAAAAUAUAAAAUAAGUCAAUGACUUAGCAGGUU
rnacentral:tRNA from 1 species